GACGAACGCUGGCGGCGUGCUUAACACAUGCAAGUCGAACGGAAAGGCCCUGCUUUUGUGGGGUGCUCGAGUGGCGAACGGGUGAGUAACACGUGAGUAACCUGCCCUUGACUUUGGGAUAACUUCAGGAAACUGGGGCUAAUACCGGAUAGGAGCUCCUGCUGCAUGGUGGGGGUUGGAAAGUUUCGGCGGUUGGGGAUGGACUCGCGGCUUAUCAGCUUGUUGGUGGGGUAGUGGCGUACCAAGGCUUGACGGGUAGCCGGCCUGAGAGGGUGACCGGCCACAUUGGGACUGAGAUACGGCCCAGACUCCUACGGGAGGCAGCAGUGGGGAAUAUUGCACAAUGGGCGGAAGCCUGAUGCAGCAACGCCGCGUGCGGGAUGACGGCCUUCGGGUUGUAAACCGCUUUCGCCUGUGACGAAGCGUGAGUGACGGUAAUGGGUAAAGAAGCACCGGCUAACUACGUG
rnacentral:rRNA from 1 species